rnacentral:lncRNA from 1 species
CUAUUCAAGGGGUUUGGGAGCACUAAUAAAGAAUCCGUUGCUGAACUUUUUGUAUCACUAAUGAGUAAAGUGAGUUAUUUAUAGUUUGCUUCAAUUUUUGAUAGGAAGAUAUCAGGUGCAAAAGCACAAUUUGGUGCACCCAUGUUUUUUUGUCGAUGAAUGUACUUUUGACAAUGUUCCUAUUAUACUUCCAGUUACCUCCUGCAGCAAACAUCUCCACUUGAUCUUAACUUCAGCACAUGUUCAGCCUCUAAACUUACCUGACCCUGCUGGAAUGGGAUGACAUUUUUUUUUGCGGGCGGGAAUGGGAUGACAUUGUUCAGUUUGAGCUAUGACAUUGUUGUCAUUUGCCCUUCAGAACAUUUUCCUGUGAAAUAUGGUGAUCAAGUAACCUGAUUAUUCAAUAUUGUGACCCUGUUUCCACAGAGAACAUGAUUAAACCACCUGAUUCCAUCGUGCAGUGUAUAGCUUGUCCUCGUUUAACGCACAGCUGUUUUUAGCUCCUUUUUUCUGGCUAUGUGCAUGUGGCUACGUAUGGGCACCUUGCAAAAAUAAAAUAAAAUAAAAUAAAUGCAAUUGUUCAUUCAUGCCACAUAGCUCGCAUCCUAGUUUCAUCGUGGCCUCAUCUUGACUUUUCAAUGGUCAACAUGCUCAAAUAUACUCUUGUCUUCUCUUGUGCAGCUACUAGCAGUAAAGGAUUUAUGGGAGCAAGGGCUUUGUGCCAGCAAUUUUGAUGGAUUCUGGAUCUCAAAGACCUGGAACAGAGGAAUUGGUAACUUGAGUGUAAGUUUUGUGUGAAUUCUGAUUGUGACUUCUCAAUAAAUCCUGCAGAGCAUUGUUUAUUUGAUUUGAUACGUUCAUUUUUGCAGGUGGAAGACUUCUUGGACAGAUCUCAGAAUUUUGCCAGAUCAGUAGGGAAGGUGGAGAUGCAGAACAUCUGUGAAUGCCUAAAGGAUACUGUUUCCAAAUUGACUGAUUUCUUUAGGGGUAAAAUUGAUGCACUGACACUGAAGAUCCUCAUUUUUGGGGCGUUAAAUCAGGAUGUGCCAGUCAGUCACCCCAGUCCAAAACAUGUUAAGAGCAAGAGGAAGAGGGAGUUGCGACAUGACCCCGGAAACAGUGAGAAGCAGCAAAAGAAAGUGAAGCACGCUGCACAACGUGGCCGCGCUGCUAACAGGACUGAUUCUAUUUUACCAACUCCCACUGUAUUUAUGCCUCAUGUGCAUCAAGUAGGUUCUACCCAACCAUUUAAUCAGAUUGUGCAUCCAUCUCAGCUUCCGAUUCCUCCUCGGCUUUCCUAUGGGUUGCCACAAGCACACUUUCAUCCAGGUCCUCAUAUGAUAGGACAACCUCAUGGUAGUUUCAUCUACUCGACAGAUCCUGGGAUUCAACUGCAGCAGCAAGCCCGGCAUAUGUUUGUUCCUUUGCCAGUCCACCAGCCAGCGAUUAAUAGGUCGUUUCACCCCCAUGGUUUCAACGGGGCACAUGAGGUCCUGUAUGAUGACAAUAGCUGGUUACCUUACGGAAUCAAUCCGAAUUACAGGAGGGUAUGACAGGUGCAGCAGCUUGAGGGGGGCGGUGUAGCCAGCUAAUUGGUGGGGAACUGUGGAGUUGAUGUGUUGUAGAAUGAAAUGUGCAUUAGCAUUCAUGUAACAAGUUGUUUUGUCCAAAGUGACGGCGAAAGGGAAACCGAAAGCUUUUCUAUGUUGGUCUGCGGUGAGCAGAUUGUAAGUUUAUUCUAGACUUGGUAAUUGCUCAGCGUUGAAAUAUUUUUGGUUAGGAGCCUGGGUGAAGAUUUGAGAUGGCCAGGUAGAUAGCACUGCAGCAAAGAACAAACCAGAGUAGCUGCUGCCAACUGUUUGCCCAUGUCUGUUUUGUAAUGAAUGAGCGAACCUAUCAGUUCGUAUGAAGCAACUGUUGUAAUUCAGCUGACAAACCAGAGUAGCUGCUGCCAACUGUUUGCCCAUGUCUGUUUUGUAAUGAAUGAGCGAACCUAUCAGUUCGUAUGAAGCAACUGUUGUAAUUCAGCUGUAGCAGUUUGAUUGGUUCUCUGCUGUCAUCAUCCUUAUUAUUGUCUAAUGCAGUUACAUCAUUAACUAAUUUUAGUGUUGGUCGAUCGGCCAUCUGAGAGGACAAGACUGGUGGAAUCUGCGUGCAAAUUGCGGCUAGGAAGCUUGUUGGUUAUCAAC